rnacentral:lncRNA from 1 species
GCUAAAAUCUGUCCCAAAACAUACUGCGGUGUCAUGGGGGUGCAUGGGAUUAGAGCUGGAGACUUGUUGGUGUCCACGGACACGCACAGUUCUCUCCCUUGGCCUUCCUAGGGCCACAGAAAAACACUGGUGAAAAAACAAAAACAAAAACAAAAAAACUUAGGAGAACAGAAGUGGGGAAAAAAUAGAGAAUUUUACUGAUAGAUCUGUGCCAGAGCUGUUAGCUUCUUCCUCUCUGCUGGUUUCUAAUGACUAAAUAGAGAAGUGCAAAUAAGGAAAAGCGUUUUCUGUGCUAGCACAGGCUCCCAGUUGCGUGCUCACUGGCAUGCAGAUAAAUGUUGAAACUGCACUGUGCUCUGACUUGCAUCUAGGAAAAUACCAGAAGACAAUUAGACGUUGUAGCCCGGGUCCUCAGUCGGGAGAUAUGUCCAUAUCAAAUGGAUUCCAGCAGGAUUCCUUGCAUAAAUGGAAAACAGACCACUGAUUCGCAUCGAACACUACUUCCUUUCUUUCCACAGGAGACACAUCUGAAACAAAAACUAAGUACCAAUCCAAUUCCAAGUGGAUGGGCAGACAACUAUCCUGUAAAGGUCAUCAGCUAUAGAUAAAAUUCACUGUUACUCCUCUAAGGCCAAG